CAUUGACUUUCUGGUGCUACAACAGUUUUACAAUGAGGCCAAAGAACGCAACUGGCAGCCUGGUCAGCAUUUCAGGAGCAUCAUUGAUGAUGCUUGGUGGUUUGGUUCGGUGGAGUGUCAGGAGCCAUUUCAAUCUGACUAUCCAGACAGCCUCUUUCAGUGCUACAUUGUCAGGUGGGAUAAUGGAGAGAGAGAGAAAAUGAGUCCAUGGGAUAUAGAGCCCAUACCUGAAGAAGCUCCACUUCCAGAGGAACAUGGGGGCAGUGUCCCGGUCACAGAGGACGAGCUUCAGGCCCUGCUGUACACCCCUCAGGAGGGAGAGUGGGGGCUGCACACACGAGAUGACGAGUGCGAGAGAGUCAUCACAGCCAUAGAUCAGCUGCUAACACUCGGUAUGGCAAAU